AAUGAAACAAUGAAAAAAACAAAUAUAGAAACAAGAUUAUGAUAAAGUAUAUAGUGAUAUUUGUGUGGUGUGUAUCUUUUUCUUUGUCUUGUCAUUCUUGUUCUUCCUCUCAAA
rnacentral:ribozyme from 13 species